CUCGAAAUCCUCUCGCGAGGGGAUUCAGUCCGGCGUCUCGUUUCGCUCCUGGUUAACCGAGGACGUUCUCUUUAUUGGGAGUGCUUCGGGGGCGGGAGAGGCCGAAAUGGCGCCGGACGCAUUUCCUCUCGCAUUAUAAGGACGCCGCAGCCGGUUGGGUAGCUGCGCGUGUCGGCCACGAGGACGGGCAACGAAAGGUGACCGGUGGACUCGUCUCGUAAAAAAGACGAAGUCCGCCGGUUUUUUUCCGCCCGUCCGUGGCGCGACACCCGACCGAGGUCUAGGUCACCUCCCAGGAGGUGACCGUAGCCAUUUAUUUCUCCAAAGUGAGCAGCGGGCCUCCGGACAGGCGAGUUUCCGCGCGGUCGCUUUCAGUCUCAUGCACUGGGCGGCCCGUUGGGUAAAACGGUUCGGUGAAAUAAUCCGUUCCGUGACCUCCCGUCCGGAAGUUCCCGCCUAUAAGUCAGAAGGCUGGCGGCGAGUAGGUCGGUCACCCACCCGACCCGUCUUGAAACACGGACCAAGGAGUCUAACAUGUGCGCAAGUCGCCGGGUCUUGUUCAGGCCCGAAGGCGCAAUGAAAGUGAGUUGGAUCUUGAUUUUUAAUCGAGGCUCGGUUGGGACUCGCGCUGGCGAAAUUUAAAGUGGCACGCGACGAAGCACCAACGACCCGCCCACACCUUAUUCAGUUAAGGAUGGACGGAGUCCGAGCGCACACGUUGGGACCCGAAAGAUGGUGAACUAUGCCCGGGCAGGACGAAGCCAGAGGAAACUCUGGUGGAGGUCCGCAGCGGUU
rnacentral:rRNA from 1 species